rnacentral:rRNA from 1 species
GGCUUCGCCACAGCGCUGCUGGCCACCUCGUUCAACUUCUAUGUGCACUGCUUCCUGCGGCUCUUGAAUGGUGCAGCCCUGAGCGCCGUCAUGCCCAUCGCCCAGACGAUCCUCUGUGAGAUUGUGCCGGAGACGCGACGCGGCGCAGCCUUCGG